rnacentral:rRNA from 1 species
GCUUGUGCACAUCAACUGCUAUUUGAACCUUUAUUCUACCUUGAUUUUUUGCGUACUCCUGUUUCCUUGGUGGGCUUGCCUGCCAGCUGGACAAAUCUAUAACCCUUUUAAUGUUUAAUCAGCGUCUGAGUAAAUUUAAUAAUUACAACUUUCAACAACGGAUCUCUUGGUUCUGGCAUCGAUGAAGAACGCAGCGAAAUGCGAUAAGUAGUGUGAAUUGCAGAAUUCAGUGAAUCAUCGAAUCUUUGAACGCACAUUGCGCCCCCUGGCAUUCCGGGGGGCAUGCCUGUUCGAGCGUCAUUACACCAAUCACGCCUGGCGUGGUAUUGGGCCGACGGGGCCGUUACACGCCCCGCGCCCCAAUGACUCCCCGGCGGGACGGACCGUAUCUCAGCGUUGUGCAAACUGCCGCUGGCGAGACGGGCUCGGCCGUGCCGUGAAAACCUCAAUUUUGUUCAGGUUGACCUCGGAUCAGGUAGGGAUACCCGCUGAACUUAAGCAUAUCAAUAAGCGGAGGAAAAGAAACCAACAGGGAUUGCCCCAGUAACGGCGAAGCC